UAAUGUCUGUGAAGUGUCAGUGACUGUAGUGUGAAGAGUUUGUGUUUACCAUCAAUCAGAAGUGACCAGAUGCCAUAAUUAUUUACUUUUAGAUAUUUUAUAAUUGGAAGUUGUUUUGAGUUGUCUUAAUCUUGUUCUAUGUUUGAUUAUCCAGAUGAUGCAGUGAAUUAUGAUUCCAUCAUACUAUUCACAUUACCCACAGUUCGUGUUAGGUGCACGCUUUUUAAUUUCACUGGCUUAAAUUAUUCUGUUACAAUUGAUUGUUUGGAAUUAGCAAUUUCUAUCAGAGUUCUUAAGGUUAUUAACUGAUAAAAUGUGGUUAAAGCCGCUUUUUUUCCUGAAGUUUUUCGAAAAAGAUAAUUGCCAGGCUUGACUUCCAACUUGAGUUGGCCAAACAGGCAGCCAUUAAUUUGUAUUCCUGCCAUAACUUAUUUAUGCCCCCCUUCGAAGAAGGGGGGUAUAUUGCUUUGCUCAUGUCGGUCGGUCGGUAGGUCGGUCGGUCUGUCCGUCCACCAGGUGGAUGUCGUAUGAUAACUCAAGAACGCAUACGCCUAGGAUCAUGAAACUUCAUAGGUAGAUUGAUCAUGACUCGCAGAUGACCCCUAUUGAUUUUGAGGUCACUAGGUCAAAGGUCAAGGUCACGGUGACCGGAAAUAGUUAAAUGGUUUUCGGAUGAUAACUCAAGAACGCAUAAGCUUAGGAUCAUGAAACUUCAUAGUUAGAUUGAUCAUGACUCGCAGAUGACCCCUAUUGAUUUUGAGGUCACUAGGUCAAAGGUCAAGGUCACGGUGACCCAAAUAGUAAAAUGGUUUCCGGAUGAUAACUCAAGAACGCAUACGCCUAGGAUCAUGAAACUUCAUGGGUAGAUUGAUCAUGACUCACAGAUGACCCCUAUCAAUUUUGAGGUCACUAGGUCAAAGGUCAAGGUCACGGUGACCCGAAAUAGUAAAAUGGUUUCCGGAUGAUAACUCAAGAACGCAUACGCCUAGGAUCAUGAAACUUCAUAGGUAGAUUGAUCAUGACUUGCAGAUGACCCCUAUUGUUUUUGAGGUCACUAGGUCAAAGGUCAAGGUCACGGUGACCUGAAAUAGUAAAAUGGUUUUCGGAUGAUAACUCAAGAACGCUUUUGCCUAGGAUCAUGAAACUUCAUAGGUAGAUUGAUCAUGACUCGCAGAUGACCCCUAUUGAUUUUGAGGUCACAAGGUCAAAGGUCAAGGUCACGGUGACCCGAAAUAGUAAAAUGAUUCGGAUGAUAACUCAAGAACGCUUUUGCCUAGGAUCAUGACACUUCAUAGGUACAUUGAUCAUGACUCGCAGAUGACCCCUAUCGAUUUUCAGGUCACUAGGUCAAAGGUCAAGGUCACAGUGACAAAAAUCGUGCUCACACAAUGGCUGCCACUACAAAGGACAGCCCAUAUGGGGGGCAUGCAUGUUUUACAAACAGCCCUUGUUAUAAUAUUGUUUAAGUUCUCAUAUUUCACAAAAUUAUGUUUGUUUUGUAUAUUAAAUAUGUUACUCUA